rnacentral:lncRNA from 1 species
CAACCCUAUCGUAUCAUAUUAGUGGAGGUGUGUCAUUUCAUAUGCUAAGGUGAAUAUAUUACUACUCAAGAAUGAGAAAUGAAAGUUAGGAAGCUUGUUAUAAAAUGGCAUUCCAGUUUGUAUGAAUGGAUCUGCAUUAUUUUUUCUAGAAUCCGUUUCGUAUCAUGAAAAUGAUACGGAGGACACAAUAAAACAGAUAGAUAUUGAGGAGUGCAAUGAAAUAGAGGAUCAUGACACUGUUAAAUGAGAUAAACCCAAACCUGGAAUAAUUAAAUGGAAUAAAAAAACAGAGUCAGUGCCAUUUACUUUAAAGAGAAAAGAAACAACGUUGUUCGUAAUGUAAAAAUGAAGAAAAGAAAUCAUCAGAUUGAAAGUCAAAGAAGAAUUAUUGAAAUCUACGGCAGUUUUUGUGGUUUUUACCCGAGCUUAUAGAACUUUUUUUUUUUAUGCCUUGUAUCGAACUCAUGAAUUAAACUCUUUAAAUCUAAUAUUUUUAAUUUGUUCUUACGUAGAACUGAUUCACCGCUGUUUCACGUUAGGGAAACAUGUCCUAAUUGGGUGUGCCUUGUCAAGAGGGGUGUCAAAGGUCGAGUGGUCCAAGUAAUUCAACUACUAUACCUUUAUCGUUUUUAGUUCGAAC